rnacentral:lncRNA from 1 species
AAUUUAACUAUCAAAUAAACAAAGAAAAGGAUCCAAAUGAAAUCAACAUCGAGACUUAGGGUUUUAUCUGACAGAAUUCCACGAGUUUUGGUGUUUGUCUAUUUCUACAGGGGGUUAUCAGGAAAUAAGGAAGAAAGGCCCACAUGUCAGGAUUACGUAAAGAUAUUAACGUGCCGCGCAAUUAUCUUACAUCUAGAAGACUCCAGAAGCCACGAGACCGAAGCAGAGGCGAAUCGGGGCCAGAGAUAGGGCGCCCGCCCUGUCCUACUGGGCGCCCGCCCACCUCCUGUGGCCAAUCACGCUCAAUCUCGCGGAUUAUGCUCCACCGACCUAAAGGAUCAAGAAUGACCGUUCAAUCAAUGUCGGUUUGAUCCGACGGCCCAGGAUCACUUGAGGGGACUAUAUAACCAGACCCCCUGGCCCCUGGAGGAGGCACCCCUUGAUCAUUAUUCAUUAUUCAUAGACAGAGCAAAAGCUAGGGUUUAGAGAUGAGAGCUCUCCUCUCUUCUCUAAACUAGAGUAGAUCUAGAUAGUAGCAAGAUGGAGAGCGAAGGAGGAUUAGAGGAGAGGCUGGCCUGUCGGUUCUUCCUCCGGUUGUACUUCGCCAUGAUCAAGCUCUAAUCAAGCUUGCUCAUGGGAUGACUCUGGUAAUCUACUUCUAAUUCAUUAUGCAAUUACUAAUCAUGUAUGUUCUGGUUCACAACUCUUUUGAGUACUUCUAAUCUAUAGGACCCUAUAGGUUAGAGUUGUAGUAUAGGUGUAAGCGUGGUGCUUAGACCUAGAUUACUUGUGGAUAUCCCCUAACUAGCUGGAUCGUGUGGUAGGCCGCGUAGGUGACAGUUACGUUGGUCCCCUGUAGUCCACCUCUCGUUAGCAGGACGGGUAGGGUUUAUCGGCCUAUGGAUAAGCAUCCUUUGUGGUGUACUCUUAUCACGUGGUUCGUCCCAGACAUAGACAUACCCCUUUGAAGUAGAGAAACCAUAGUUAUCCUCUCUAUUCUGCUACCAUCGCCCAUAUACUAGAAUUGCUCUACUCUCUAUUCCCAUAUUAUCACUCACUGUUAUCUUACCUUUAAUAUUGUUCUUAUUCGAUUCUACCAUCUUUCCUAUUCACACCUAUUUACUUAUCUUGGUUAAGUUAGAGCGUAGAUCAGUUCUCCUGUUUCCCUGUGGAUACGAUAAAACCUUUAACCGGGUAAAAGCUUCAACGGUAUCCGUGCGCUUGCGGAUUAUCUGUGUGUGUAUAAAUACCAUAGUACACUCUAGUGCCACGCUGGGGAUGACAACCUAGUAUUCAAGUGGUGUUAGCAAGUGUCAACAUCGACCUCCUGGGAGGUUGAGCCUAUGGAUGAGUCGAGGGAGGACGCUCGAGGCGAUGCACUGGUCGACCAGCUGUGCUACAUAGGUGCGACGCUGCGAGAUCGGGUGCGGGAUGCCCUCCACAUCGGGGUGAAGCGUGCGAUGGCGGUUGUCUGCUCGGGCUUCUCCUACGACAUGGAGGUGGUGUCCCACGGCUUUGUCACCGACAUCUCCAAGACCAACGCGGAAAACGAAGAGAGGCUCCACGCCUUGAUCGACGACGCGGAGGCUCCUGGGGAAAGGCUGGCUAAGCUUUUUGAGCCCGAGGUGCUUCCUCCUGAGACUGGCUCGGGCGGAGGCGAGGGUGGUGAGGACCGUGCCACGGACUGAGGCCUGCGAGCCUGCUCAGGGUGCCUAGGGCCUCUUGUAUAAUACUUUGUUAAUCCUGUUGUUAAGCGAUACAGUAUCUUUUUGUAAUUGUUAAAUGCUUAUUUGUCUUUCCGCUCGAGGUUCUUUUAUUUCUCUUUGUUCCUACGUUUGUGUUCCUUGUUCGAUCUCUCAUAAAAAACAACCUCGAUCGCCUCAAGGGUGAGGAAGUGAGUAGAGUUUCCGUAGCUCGGGGGCGUAGGAGUUCUCAGGCUCGUUGACCCUCGGCCUUUGAGGGGAUCGAGGUGCCUUAGCUACUCGAAUCGUGCAAGGUUUACUAAGUAGGGAGAGGAAAUUUCUUGGCUUUUUCGACGCACGGGGGGGGGGGGGGUCGUCCCCCUGGUAGCCCCCGAGGGGGUGUUGACUAUGAUGGGUCAUAGUUGGCGCCCCCUUCUAACGUCGAGAUUAUGACUUGUAAAUCCUUGGUACAAAAAGAAGUUGCUCGAGGGAAAGACUUCAUUUAUUCAUGCAUUCGUUUACAGAGUCUUGGUACAAAAUGUACGUAGGAACGUAAGUUUUGAACUUCUAGGGGUAGAAUCGACGUAGCUGUUCGAUGUUCCAUGCGUUGGUGAAGACCGCCCCCUUCUCGUCCGCUAACUUGUACGUUCCUGGCUUCAAGACCUCGGCCACCACGUACGGGCCUUCCCAUGGUGGGGUCAGCUUGUGGCGUCCUUGAUUGCUCUGCCGUCGUCGUAGGACAAGGUCACCCACGUUUAAGUCCCUCUUUCUUACAUGUUUGUCGUGGCAGCGUCGAAGCUUCUGCUGGUAUCUGGCAGAGUUGAGGAGGGCCAUGUCUCGAGCCUCCUCGAGCUGGUCGACCGCGUUUUCUUGAGUCUCCUUAUUUGAUUGCUCGUUGUAUGCUUUGAGUCGAGGUGACCCAUACUCGAGGUCUGUGGGGAGGACAGCCUCAGAGCCAUAGACCAUGAAGAAUGGGGUGUACUUUGUGGCCCUGUUUGGUGUUGUCCUUAGACUCCAUAGGACCGAGGAAAGCUCCUCGACCCAUUUCUUGCCGAAUUUCUUCAAACGAUUGUAAAUCCUUGGCUUGAGCCCUUGCAAGAUCAUGCCGUUGGCACGCUCGACCUGGCCGUUAGUUCGAGGGUAAGCCACCGCGGACCAGUUCACACGGAUAUGAUGCUGAUCGCAGAAGUCCAAGAACUUUUUGCCAGUGAACUGGGUGCCGUUGUCGGUGAUGAUCACGUUAGGGAUUCCGAAUCGGUGUAUGAUGUCGGUGAAGAAGAGGACGGCUUGUUCAGAGUGGAUGUUGGUGAUGGGUCAAGCCUCGAUCCAUUUGGAGAAUUUGUCAAUGGCCACGAGCAAGUGGGUGUAACCCCCUUUUGCCUUUUGUAGAGGUCCUACUAAAUCGAGCCCCCAUACCGCAAAUGGCCAGGUGAUGGGGAUCAUCUGAAGAGCGUGGGUGGGCAGAUGCGUCUGUUUGGCGUAGAACUGGCACCCAUGACAUGAGCGUACAAGCUCGAUGGCAUCUGCCAUGGCCGUUGGCCAGUAGAAACCUUGUCGAAAGCCGUUCCCCACGAGGGUCCGUGGAGCAGCAUGGUGGCCGCAAGCCCCCGAGUGUAUGUCCUCGAGGAGUUUUUGGCCUUCUUCUACGGUGAUGCAACGCUGCAAGACCCCCGUCGGGCUUCGUCGGUAUAGCUCAUUGCCUUCGCCAUAAAUCACAUAUGACUUGGCUCGUCGAGCGAUACGGCGGGCCUCAGAUCGAUCUUCUGGCAGCUCGCAGUGGAUUAGGCAGUCGAGGAACGGUGUGCGCCAGUCGAACGGUCGACCGGGUCGCUGCUCUACCUCCAUCACCUCUGCUGCCAUCAGCAGUGGAUCGACGGUGUCGGUUGGCUGGGCGGGAGCGGCAUCGACGCCAGCCCCCGAGCCCAAGUCGACGGAUGGCUCGUGAAGAUCUCUUGAGAACGCGUCAGGUGGCACCGUGCCUCGGGUUGACGCGAUUUUGGCGAGUUCGUCGGCCGCUUCGUUGUAGCGUCUGGCGACAUGGACGAGCUCGAGGCCGUGGAACUUGUCCUCGAGUCGACGAACUUCUUUGCAAUACGCCUCCAUUUUCGGGUCGUGGCUGCUUGAAGUCUUCAUCACCUGGUCGAUGACGAGUUGGGAGUCACCUCGGACGUCGAGGCGUCGGACUCCUAACUCGAUGGCGAUCUUGAGACCGUUGACGAGGGCCUCGUAUUCCGCGACAUUGUUGGAUGUGGCAAAAUGAAUCCUGAUGCGUACCUCAUAUGGACGCCCAAGGGCGAGAUGAACAGCAGGCCGGCCCCGGCCCCCGUCUUCAUGAGUGACCCAUCGAAAUACAUCGUCCAUAGCUCCGACUGGACCUGGGUUGGGGGGAGCUGGGAGUCUGUCCAUUCCGCGAUGAAAUCCACCAGGGCUUGCGAUUUGACGGCCUUGCGAGGCGCGUAAGUGAGAGUCUCACUCAUGAGCUCGACCGUCCAUUUAGCUAUUCUUCCCGUGGCCUCCUUGUUCUAGAUUAUCUCGCCCAAGGGGAAAGACGAGACCACCGUGAUGGGGUGGCCGGGAAAGCAGUGCUGCAGCUUGCGGCGGGCGAGGAUUACGGCGUAGAUCAGCUUUUGGAUUUGGGGGUAACAUACCUUGGUCUCCGAAAGCACCUCACUGACGAAAUAGACUGGCCUCUGGACUGGAAGGGCAUGCCCCUCCUCCUGCCUCUCGACCGCCACCGCUGCACUGACGACCUGGGUCGUCGACGCGACGUAAAGGAGCAAUGGUUCCGCAGGUUGAGGUGGGACCAGGACUGGUGCUGAUGUCAGCGUUUUCUUCAGCUUUUCGAGAGCUUCCUCGGCCUCGGGGGUCCAAGAAAAAUGCUCGACCUUCUUCAGAAGUCGGUACAGUGGUAACGCCUUUUCUCCUAGUCUCAAGAUGAAACGGCUCAGAGCCGCCAGGCACCCCGUGACUCUUUGCACACCCUUGAUGUCUCGGAUCGGCCCCAUUCUUGUGAUGGCUGAGACUUUCUCGGGGUUGGCCUCGAUGCCGCGUUGGGAAACAAUGUAACCCAAGAGCAUGCCUCGAGGCACGCCGAAGACGCAUUUCUCAGGAUUGAGCUUGAUCUGGUUGGUGCGUAAGCAGCUAAAAGCGAUCUCGAGGUCCUGGAUCAGGUCCCCUCGCCGUUUCGAUUUGACGACAAUGUCGUCGACAUAGGCCUCGACCGUCGACCCUAUGUGUUCGCCAAAUACGUGGAGCAUGCAGCGCUGGUAUGUGGCUCCCGCGUUUCGAAGCCCAAACGGCAUGGUUACAUAGCAAUAUAUCCCAAAAGGUGUGAUGAAAGAGGUCGCGAGCUGGUCGGACUCCUUCAUUUUUAUUUGGUGGUAACCAGAAUAUGCAUCAAGGAAAGAAAGGGUUUCACAUCCUGUAGUAGAAUCGACAAUCUGAUCAAUACGUGGUAAUGGAAAAGGAACUUUCGGACAUGCUUUAUUUAGACUUGUAUAAUCGACACACAUCCUCAUUUUCCCAUUCUUUUUCUUAACUAGUACAGGGUUUGCUAACCAGUCGGGAUGAUGAACCUCCUUGAUGAAUCCGGCCGUCAAAAGCUUGUGGAUUUCCUCACCAAUGAUCUUGCGCUUCUCCUCGUCGAAUCGGCGCAACCGCUGCUUCACUGGCUUGGAACCUGCUCGAAUCUCCAAGGAGUGCUCGGUGACUUCCCUCGGUAUGCCUGGCAUGUCCAAGGGACUCCAUGCAAACAUGUCGGCGUUCGCACGGAGAAAGUCGACGAGCACAGCUUCCUAUUUGGGGUCGAGGUUGGUGCUGAUCAUCAGCACCUUGCCGUCGGAGUUGUCGGGGUCAAGUGGGAUCUUCUUGGUUCCCUCUUCUGGCUUGAAGUUGCCCGCGUGGCGCUUGGGCUCCGGAGCUUCAGCGGCCAGGGCCUCGAGCUUUGCGACGAGCUCGGUUGAGUUCUCGACCGGCUCCCCAUACUCGACGCACUCGACGUCACACUUGUAAGCGUGCUCGAAGGAGGAGCUGACGGUGAUGACACCUUUUGGUCUGGGCAUCUUCAGCUUCAAGUAGGUGUAGUUGGGCAUGGCCAUGAACUUGGCGUAGCCCGGGCGCCCAAUGAUGGCGUGGUACGUGCCACGGAACCCGACCACCUCAAAGGUGAGGGUCUCCUUCCUGAAGUUGGCCGCUGUGCCGAAGCAGACCGGUAGGUCGAUUCGACCUACUGGCAGCGCCUUUUUUCCUGGCACGACGCCAUGGAAACCGCCGGCACUUGGCUGGAGCCGUCCCCUAUCGAUACCAAGGAGGUCAAGGGUCUCGAGGUAGAUGAUGUUGAGGCUGCUGCAUCCGUCCAUUAGUACCUUGGAGAGCCGGGUGUUGAUGAUGAUAGGGUCAACGACGAGCGGGUAGACGCCUGGGGCGACUACCUUGUCAGGGUGGUCCUCUCGGUCGAAGGUGAUGGGGGUGCUUGACCAGCUGAGGUACUGGGGUACCGCCUUUCUUGCCGCGAAGACCUCACGGCGUUCCCUUUUGCGCUGCCUCGUGGUCAACUGUGUCGAAGGCCCACCAUAGAUCAUGUAGCAGUCGUGGACGGCGGGGAUGCCGUCGUCGUUUUUGUUGCCCCCUCUUUGUCGCCGCCCUUCUCCUUCUUCGAGUCGUCACGCUCAUCCCUUUUGAACCCUAGACCGUCGAAAUGCCUUUUCAGCAUACGACAGUCCUUGAGCUUGUGGUUGGCGCCUCCCUUAUGGUAAGGGCAUGGCUCUUCGAGCAUCUUGUCGAAAAUACCCCCAUCUGGGGGGCCUCGAGGCUUCUUCCGCUCCAUGGCAGCGACGAGAUCAUCGUCGAAGUUCUCCUGCUUGUACUGCCGCACUUUCUGCUUUUUCUUGUUCUUCUUGAGCCCUCGACUGGGGUUCCAUCUUCAUCGACAGGCCGCUUGCCUUUCCCUCCUUCACAGCUGAAGAAGGCGCCGACUGCCUCCUCCCCUGCUGCGUAGUUUGCCACUACGUCCAUCAGCUCAUCGACGGUAUGAGGGCGAUUUCGGCCCAGUUCCCGCACUAAGUCUCGACUGGUGGUACCAGAGACAAAAGCCAGGAUAACGUCAUGGUCAGGGAUGUGUGGCAGCUCAGUGCGCUGCUUCGAGAAGCGUCGAGCAUACUCUCGAAGAGUUUCUCCUGACUUCUGCUUGCAUUUGCUGAGGUCCCACGAGUUCCCGGGCCGUAUGUAGGUCCCUUUGAAAUUACCCUCGAAAACUUUAACCAAAUCGACCCAGUCGUGAAUCUGAUUUGCUGGAAGUUCCUCGAGCCAUCGACGAGUGGUGUCGGAGAGGAAGAGGGGUAGCUGUCUGAUGAUGGCUCGAUCAUCACCUCGAGCGCCACCUAGCUGACAGGCCAGCCUAAAAUCGGCCAGCCAUAAUUCUGGUUUGGUCUCUCCAUUGUACUUUGCGAUGCUGGUCGGGGGUCGGAAUGGACUGGGCAGGGGCGUGCUGCGGAUCGCCCUGCUGAACACUCGUGGGCCCGGUGGCUCGGGGGCCACUCAGUCUUCGUCGCUGUCGUACCUCCCACCGCGAUGUGCGCUGUAACCGCGCUCUUCCGCGUCUCCGUGUCGGCGGCGUUGAUUCUCUUCGAUGUCAUGCCGCGCGUCGUGUCGACGCGGAUUGUCGACGGGGAGAACGAGAGCGGUCUUUCUGCCUCGAGGAGGAGGCUGUUGAUGGACUGACACCUCCUUUUCAUUUUGAGGCGGCUCGUCGCGCUUUUCAGUGGCAGCUCCUCGUCGUCGAGAAGCUGAGCUUUCGGCUUGUUGAACUGCCGCCACCUGGAGCAGAGUCUGUACCUCGUCUCGAAUGCGCCGAGCCUGGGAGUUCGAUGGUUCUAGCAUGUUGCGCUAUAGCAUCGUUGCCGCCACUACAUUCUGGCCCGCUCGAGGGAAACGGCUGACGGGCUGCUCUGGCUCUGCGUCUCUGACGAUUUGUCGAUGUACCUCUCGAGCACGUUUGCGGACACUUCCGCCCAGCGGGUACGGCAGGUCUUGCUCAAGGAUUUGCUCAAGCAGGACGAGGCGCUCACGGUCUUCGUCGAGCUUCAUCUUGAGCUCUCGUAGCUAUGCAAGCUGCACAGCUUUGUCUUCCUAUGGUGGGGGGUCGACCUGUCCGUCGUUCCCAGGCGUCCUGGGGUCUUCCCGUGCUGCAGGGGCUCGACCGCCCGCUGCAGCAUCCUGCGUCUCGUCGGUAGUUUCUACUGCCCCGUCGACGUGAUAGCAUUCCCUCGUAGGGUCGUAGCUAUCAGUCUCGGAGUCGGAGUCCGGCUCGGUGGUGUAGAAGCAUCCACGUCCCUCCUCCAGCAGCCGUUGCCUGAGUGAGGUGAUCGUGUAUCGCCCAGGGCCUAGGCGGCGGAGGCCUCGCACCUGGGAUAAAUCCGGCAGUUCGGAUGUCAGCCGUAGUGUCUCAGAGUCACGUGGGAGGACCAUUGGUCUCUCCACGUACGUCUGAGCAUUUGGGCAUAUUGCUCUGGCGAGCGACGCCGCGGCGUUGUCCAAUCCGAAUGGCAGUGCCCUUCUUGGAGUGAACAACCCGUGUGGAAGUAGCUUAGUAGCGGUGGGGGAGGGCGCGCGAGACGCGUCCCCUCCCGUCGUCACGCGAUGUUGAGCCGUCGUGCCCGCGGUUCCGGCACAUGGUGUUGCCGGCUCGCAGCCCACCUCCUGCCUCGCACGAGUUGCCGGUCGUGAUGAGGCAGAGGGGCGGCGGUGGUGCUGUCCGCGCCUCUUCUUGGGCGGGGAGGCGUGGUGGCGAGGGCGUCUUGGGGCCCUCAACCGAGCUGGUGCAACGCGGGCUCCUCCCGGUCCUUUGACUGAGAGCAAGAUCAUGUCGUAGCCGGAGCCCGUAGACAUGAACUCGAGACUCCCAAACCAAAUCACCGUGGAGCGUGGAAUCGGCGAGGCAAGAGCUGCCAUCUGGAAAGGAGUGGGAAACCGAUGAAAAACACGCAGGACCCCUACCUGGCGCGCCAACUGUCGGUGUUUUCCCCACGGGGGGUCACACCAACGAGUAAAUUUGUAUGCGUGCUCCCUUUCCCAGAUGGUGAUGCAAGAAGACACAAAGAUUUAUCCUGGUUCAGGCAAGAGAAGGCCCUACGUCCAGCGGGGGGGGAGUCUAUAUUAUCUUGCACCUAAGUGCUUGUACAGGGGUGAAUACAAUCGUGGUAUGGAGUGUGUGAGCUCUACUGCGUAUGGUGUCGCCCUUUGUUCUAUUCCUGAGUCCCUCCUUUUAUAGCUCCAAGGAGAGACCCAGGGUACAUGUAUAGGCGUCAGAAUAGGAGUCGAUAGCAGCAUGGAGCGCUGACCUACUCGAGGCUUCCGUACCGGCAUGGCCUCGAGCCGUCCCGUCUUGAUAGCCUGGUGAUGAUUACGCGUGCCCCUGCAUUCUGCUCUGCGCGUCGUCUUGUGUUGGUUCAACGGUCGCACGCUUGUACAGUAUGGCGGCAGAUCCGGCGGGGUGGUUGUGGUGUUAUCAGUCGACGCCCAACUCGUCCCCAGGAUGGAACCCUGUUCGGUCGAGGGUCGGACGCCGUGUAAUGUGCCGAUGUCCGGAGCGCUGACCUUGGAUGGCUCGAGGGGGUCCCGAUUAGACGUUCCAUCCUUGUUUCCUGCGUCCUGACACGCCCUGGGUCGUUUGGUGGGAAGGCUGCAAAAAGAACGAUGGGACAGAUGCCUGUUCCCUAUCACGCCUCCCAUGACCUGUGUGUUAGGUGGGGAAGCGUCAGGCGCAUUUAAUGCCCCGGCUCGCGUGCGUGCGUCAGGCGGCGGGCGGCGUCCUUGCGCUCGACGCCUCCCGGUUCGUGUGAGCCUGUUUCCGUAUUCGACGGCAGCUAGCGCUCGACCCCAGAUCGAUUCGCUCGACGCUAUUUCCGUCUUCGAGGUUGUGGACGUCGAAUGCUGCGUAUACGCAUGGCCAGAGCUUCGAGUCGAGGGCCUCAUCCUGCAUACGGAUAGUCUUGUUACGCGCAUCGGUGAGGGUACCCCUUAUUGAUACCCUGCGUACGGAUAGUCUUGUUACGCGCAUCGGUGGCCUUGGAUGCAUUAAUGGCCUUUGGUCCCGACCUCUUUAGGACUUCUGUUGCCUCUUUUAUUCCAAGACUGCGGAACACCCGACUGUUAUGCAUGCAUCUUUCAAACUUUUCCAACUCAUAUUGAGUCAGUGGAGCCUCUACACAUGCAUGAGAAAAAGAAAGCUCACUUCAGUGAAAACAUAAAUGAAGAAAACCAAUUAGAAAAUUAUAUGAUCAAGGCAAUUAGAGGAACAGAGCAUGUAAAUUAAGCAUUUCAGACAACAGACCAUGUAAAUUAAGCAUGUGAGUACAAAACCUACAGAGCUAGGAAUUCGAACCAUAUAAAGGAUUUGUUGCAUAUCAGACUGAUGGCUAUCAGCUACUGCAUGUAAUAGCACAUCACAUCACACAAAAACAUUCUAAGAAACCUGCAGUCACGACUCGGUGAAGAGAAUCCAAGCAACAACAAUAACAAGUGAUUAGUGAUGUCCUGUUGUAUCUAAUUCCUGCCUGCCUGCCUGCCUCAGUCUGUAAUGCACUUUACUGCUGUAUUAGAGAUCAGAAGAUGGGAUUCCCAAUUGGAUCCCUAACUGAAUAAGUAAAUUGAUAUAUAUGUAAAGGGGGAAAAACGAAGAUUUGUCCAUGUUCCAUUAAUUUGAGUACUUACGACUUCAUUCAGUCAGAGUUCAUAAAUUUGAAAAUCUAUCUCUCUAUUUUUCUAAUUCGCAAACCAAACGAAAUGGAGAGAGAUUUCUCCAGAACACUUUCCACUGCUCAUCCUUGUCUCCCUCAGCUGAACGUGAAUGAAACCCACAUCAGCAAGGAAAGGAAACCCCCCAUAUCUACCCAUCCUCAGGCUCUUCCCACAACCAACAUCAACGCUGCAGGUCAGGCCUCCCCUUGCAAAUCCUUACAUCUAUGGCCAAAGCCUAUGCAGUAGUUCGUGCAGCCAUAUGUAUUGCGAAGUGAGAUGGGGAAGUCGACAAGCACCUGCUGGUUGACGUCGAGUUGAGGGCCGGGUCGCCGAUUUCCGACCAGGAGCCAUCUCGCGAGUUGAGGAAGUUGGGCCGCAGCACAGAGGACGUCGUCGGAGCCGCAGUGCCUCUUCGGUGGUGGAGGGCACCAGACCCUCUUGCUAGGUCGCUACAGCGUAGCCUCUUCACUGGCGGCGGCAGACUGGGAAGAAUGAUUUGUGGUGGCUAGGGUUUGGGGAGGGGUGGGUUGAGUAGGUCACGGUUGAGACAGAUUUUCUGUAAUGUCCUUGUAUAAAUGAAACGCACUGCAACAUAUUUGUGGAUAGAAUAGGUAUUUUGCUUCCAAAUUUUUUGUUGAGGCGGGAGGCCAUCGCGCCAUUGCGCUGGUUUGGGCUAAAAGGCACACGUUUCAUUUUUAUUUUUAAACUUUUCAUCUUACUAGUUCUGGAGAUAAAGAAAAUAUUGUUUUGUAACAUAAAGAAAAAAUGCUUACUUAUUUUAAAUAAUAUAAAUAAUUGUUACAUUUUUUAUUUUUUAUGGUUGCAUCUUCAAGUUUAGUUUUUAAUCAAUAAUCUACAAAUUCAAGAUGUGUUUUCAUUUAAUAAUUGAUAAGAUGUUCAAUGAAAGUUAAUUAAGGAAUAAAAUCAUUGUGCUCAAUCAUAUUAUUAGGAACAAAAACAUGAUUAGUUGUUUCCAACUCAUUGUGGCACCUAUUAUAUAUGUAUACUACCCUUUUUCACAAGAAACUAUUUGUAAAGUAUAUGGAUUGGAAGAUAAGAGUUAUUUAUAUAUAAAAGAACUAUGACGUGUCUGAUCGUAGAGACAUUAUUCUAUCAUAUGCUCAAGGUUCCCCAUUUGCAAUGCACAUGUAGUUGUGCUAGUUCUAGCAUCACUAACGUUGCGCCACCAAUCAUAUAACAUCUCGCGUGAUGGAGAAAUAGAGGAAGGCCCUUAACCGAUGAGUCAAGCUCUCGGGUUCCACUUUUGCACUCCCUAGGAUCUUAGUACAACAAAGGCUGCUACUAUGGCAUCGAAAAUGCUUCAUUGAAGGUGUAUGUAAAUGAUCACUAUCUUUGUGGGGUUACCCUCAUAUAGCUUUCAGAACUAAAAUAAUAAUGUGGUUUUGAAAAUGCAAAUAGGUUUCAUAUAUAGGGCACAUACCGUACUUUAGCUUGUCCAUCAACUAGUUAACCAUCAAUUUGAACCCCUAGACCAUAGAGAAAGUGAGUUAAUGGUGCUUGAAUCGAGCUAUUUUACAACACUACUGUUAGGGUUCCUAGUCCUUCGGGUGAGGGAUCGGAGGUUGUAGGUGUGGCUGAUCGUGGAGCGAGGUUGGAGGGCACGAGGUAGGCGGCGCGGUGGUGCCGUGGCUGCUGGGUUGCGCGGCUGCUAGGGCACGGUGGAUAAAACUCCUGACUCUCUGAGGGAAGCCGAGAAACAAAUAUGUUUCUGCUUAAUUAAUCCCAAUAGUGUUUACAAGUACUUAUAACCCUCAAAACUAGAAAAUAGGAAAUAUUAUAAUAGAUAGCUAAUUAAUAUAAUAAAUAUGGGCCUUUAUCCCCCUACGACUCCUAGCCACUUGUGGGCUUGCGGCGUGAAUAACUCACACUGGUCAUAACAUCUACAAAUUGGCUAUUUUUGGGACUCAGUGUUCAUUUCGCUCGACAACCCCUUGUGUCGAAAUGCCUUUGGGUGGGCACAUACCGUACUGUAGUUUGUCCAUCAACUAGUUAACCAUCAAUUUGAACCCCUAGACAAUAGAGAAAGUGAGUUAAUGGUGCCUGCAUUUAAAAAAACAGCUGGAAACAUCUCUAUCUCACGCCUUGUCACCCAUGUUGAUUUUGAGCUAUUGAGUUAAAAAAAGAGAGGCAUCUGCAUUCUAAAAAAACAGCAAGAAACUAUAAGGCUCAAUAUGAAUUAAUUUGACUGGACAACCAAACACCUCCACUUAGAAUAUGAAAUAAUUUGACUGGACAACAACUAGCAGCCAAACCACAAGUCAGCAGGCUUCAAAUGCUUGCUAAACACAGAAAGUAUACAAUGCAGUACAGAUUAUUUCAAUAAAUAAUCUCCAUAUUACAACUAUAUUGAGACCACAACUAAAACUACUCGUAAUCACUAUCAUCGUCAUCUUCUUGAGGGAUUGUUGGACCUUCAUUGUCACUAAAAUAUUGACAUCUAGUUUCAUCUUCGCUGUCACUUGAGUCAUCUUGUUCCCCUUCCACUUCUCUUUGUAAACGGAGUUCAUCAACUACACAAGCGUCAACACAAACACCAUCUUCACUAAUUGGCUGCUCAUUUUCAAAUACACUAUCAUCAACACAAACAUGCACACCUUCACAAUCAUCAUCUUGGUAGGACAGUAUCACGCCAUCAGUUAUACUGUCAUUAUCAUUUUCAGCCACACUCCACAAGUGUCUGUGGGAAAAUUUUUGAACAACUCGCCAGUUCUCAUGAUACUUGGUGUCUGGCAAGUAAAAUAUCUUUGUUGCCUGUGCUGCUAGAAUAAAUGGAUCAUCCUUGUACCACAAGCUGCCAUGGUUUAAGCUUGUAAAGAAUCCAUCUUCCUUCAUGCAAAACUUCUUUCCAUGAGUGUCAAACCAAUCACAACGAAAUAGAACCACUGUCCUAUGGCCACCCGAAUCUGUGUUGUACCUAAGCUCAGUAAUUUCCUUCAAAGAACCAUAGAAGUCAAUAUUCUGGUGGUCAUGUGUACCCUCAGUCAUAACUCCACUAUUUUGUGUCCUCCUGUUUUUCUCACGUUCUACAGUGUGGAAGCGAACACCAUUAACAAGACAUGCUGAAUAAAUUCGAACUCGCAGAUCAGGUUCGCAUGACAGUGCAAAUAGCUCAUCAUCUAUGUCUUGGUUCUCCACAUAACGAAGUAUUGCAAUCUGCACAAAAUAGUUCCUUAUUAAAAUAGGUAGAAACCCUUAAUAAUAAAUAUUGCCACCCUUUCCAGUUGCAAAAAAACCCGUAAUAAUAAAUAUUGCCAAACAGACACAUGUUUAAUUCAGGGCAGAAACCCUUAACAUGAUUACAGGGAGAUGAAUCUAAUGGUCUGCAAGGAGAUGGAGGUGAUGCUUCAGGUUUGUGUAUUGUCGAACAGCUACAGUUACAUUUCUCAGCUAUCUGUUGUCUAAAUGUUGUCUAAAUGAAUCUAAUGGUCUGCAAGGAGCACCAUCAACAAAUGGCAAUGGUGGUUCAGGUAUACUCUCCAGAACAGUAUGUAGUAUGCUUCCAAGUUCUUUGAUUUUCAGCUUCCAAGUCUGAAUUUGCAGUAUUCCUAACAUGUGUCUGAAUUUGCAGUAGUCUGUAGUGUAGCUUUCUUUAUUUUUUCAGUCAUAAAUUCAGUAUGUUUUCACUCUGCAUACUAAGUUCAGGUUUAGUUUGACUGAUGAAACCAGACUCUAAUUGGGUCUUUACUAAUAGGGCCUACAGUAAUACUCUCAUGGUUCUUAAAAAAUGUAAUUUAAAUUUUUAUAAAAAAAAGCAAUUUAACUAUUUUGCUUCUUAAACCAAGAACAAAAUAAUGACAUAAAUUAAAACAUGCCUAACUCACAUGCUUCUUAAACCAGGGAGCGAAUUGCUUCUCAAGAGUUUUUGGAACAUUAGGGCAUCCUUCGUUCUCGAGCUGUUUCUUGUAUAUCCUAAAAAAGAUAGUUAAUUCAAAUAUUAGGGCUAAUAAUAAAGUUACAGUAAACAAAAAAAAGAGUAGACAGGCUGACAUACUCAAUAUAUGGCUCAACCUCUGGACAAUUGUUUAGCACAAACCAAACCAUUUUUUCAUGAUCAUGUUCAAGAUAUGUAAGGUUUGGUGCUCCAAGAAGCUCAACUCCAUGCUGGAAAACAGAUAGGUCUCCUUUCACAAUAGGAACUCGCUCUCUAUUCCUUACCUCCCUAUUGUGUCGUGUAUCAAUAUCAUCAUCGAAAUACCUCGAGCAAAUAUUCAAGCAUUCAGCAGCAACAUAUGCUUCUGCAAUGGACCCUUCAGGCCUUGCCAUGUUCCUCACAAACCGUUUCAAUGUUAACAACCUUCUUUCUACAGGGUACAUCCAUCCAUAUUGUACUGGACCCCUGAGAAUCGCUUCUUCAGGUAAAUGGACAGCCAGGUGUAGCAUCACAUCAAAGAAAGAAGGAGGAAAUAUUUUCUCAAGCUUACACAGAAUGAUUGGGAUGUCAGUUUUCAGCCUUUCCAACACAUCUAACUUCAAAGUUUUUGCACAAAGUUGCUGAAAGAAAUUACCCAAUUCAGCAAGUGCUUCAUAUAUAUCCUUCUGCAUGAUCCCUUGAACUGCAGCAGGUAUAAUCCUUUGAAGAAGAAUAUGACAAUCAUGAGUUUUUAACCCUUGAAGGUUGCAGCCAUCAGCGGUAACACAUGUUGCUAAGUUGGAAGCAUAUCCAUCUGGAAAUUUUACACUUUUCAAAAAAUCACAGAAGUCAGACUUUUGUUUUUUAGUCAUUGUGUAGGGGGCACGAGGCAUAGUAUAUGAAUUUCCAUCAUGGAUCAAGUGCAAAUUCUUCCUAAUGCCCAUAUCUUCCAAAUCAAGUCUAGAAUUCGGAUUGUCCUUAGACUUCCCAGCCAUUCCUAGAAAUGUAGCAAGGAUGUACUCACAUAUAUUUUUCUCAAUGUGCAUCACAUCAAGAUUAUGCUGCAGCUUCAAACUUGACCAAUACGGCAAAUCCAACAAACAUGACCUUCGCUUCCAACAUUGGCCAAUGACAUCCCGCUUUCUUUUUCUGCUUUCAAGAUGUUUUCCUGGUCUGACAUCCUUGACCCUCUCUAGUUGCUCCAUCAGCUCACUUGUGGUAAAUUUCUCUGGCUUCUCACGGUUUUCAACACUACCAUCAAACAUCUUGCUCCGCCUCCAUGCAUGAUCCCUAGCAAGGAAGCGCCGAUGGCCAGUGUAACAUAUCUUAUUCCGUAUCCUUCUAGAGCAAGGGUUUUUGUCACAAUGCACACAAGCCUAAUAACCUCUUGUGACUCUACCUGACAAUGUGCUCAAAGCAGGAUAAUCAUGAAUGCACCAUAUUAUAGCAGCAUGUAGAUCAAACUUCUUCCCAGUAAUUGCAUCAAGAGUAGGGACGCCUUUCCAAAGCUCUAGCAACUCCUCAAUAAGUGGCUCCAAGAAGACAUCAAUGUCCUUUCCUGGACAUUCUCGACCAGGGAUAAGCAGCCCCAUCAUAAAGUUUGAUUGCUCUACACAUUCCCAUGGAGCAAAGUUGUAUGGGAUAAGAAACACUGGCCACAUGCUAUACGAGGAGCUCAUCUUACCAAAUGGAAACCAUCGGUAGCAAGGCCAAGUCUGAUGUUCCUAGCAUCUUCUGCAAACCACCCAUACUUUCUAUCAAAGUCUUUCCAGGCCUCACCAUCAGCUGGAUGGCUAAGCUCAUUCUCCACAGGCUCCCUCUUCAACUUGUGCCAUUGCAUCUCCUCUGACCUUUGCUUGGAAGAAAAGAUUCUCUUGAGCCUAGGAAUCAAUGGAAAAUGUCAUAAAACUUUCUCAGGAAUCUUCUUUUUGCCAUCAUUGACUUUCCAUCUUGAUGCACUACAAACUGGACACACAUCAUCUUUUUCUAAAUUGUUUCGAAACAGGACACAAUUAUUCGGACACACAUGGAUUGAAUUGUAUCCGAGCCCCAAUGCACGGAUAAGUCUCUUUGCUUCCUCAUAGGUUGUAGGAAUAGAGCAAUGUGGGAAAGCUGAUGACAACAACUUCAGAAAUGCUGUGAAUGCAACAUUAGGAAUUCUGUAAAAUGACUUGAUAUGAAGUAACUUCACCACAAAAGAAAACCUUUUGCAAGGACCACCAGGGUACAACUCUUGUUUCAUCUCUUCCAAUAGAACUGAAAACAUUGACUCUUUCCUUUUACCUUCCUCUUCAGCUGUGUACAACUCCUCUACUAAACCACAAAUUCUAUCAUCAGGGUCAUUUUCAUCAUCCACAUCUAGGCCAAAAUCAUCAUUGAGACUAGUAUGUUCAUCAACAUGGUGAUCAAUUUCAUGUGGUACAGCCUCCAAUGGUUCUCCAUGAUGUACCCAUCUAGUGUAAGUAGCAGCCAUCCCAUGAAUAUACAAGUGAUCCUCCACGUGUCCUUUAGGUUUACAAACACGGUUCAAACACCGACGACAUGGACAAAGCAUGUCUUCAUCAUCAUUGAAUCUGUCGGAAACAAAGGUCAUGAAUUUCUUCACCCCUUCCACAUGUUCCCUGCUGAACAUCCUACUCUUGAUCCAAGAUCUAUCCAUCUACACCAAAUCAUGAGAUACAAUUCCUCAAAAAAAUUACAUAUAGAUGAUGCUGAACCAAAGUUAUCAAACAUGUGAUAGAUUAUUUAUAAUGCAUUCUGUAAGCAAUAGUUUAGCAUUGCUUUAUCUCCAAUAGUGUGUUGAAGAAAUAUUUAGAAAAAUAGCAUGCUCCAACUGAAGAUAGGAAAAAGUUCACAGUAUUCAACAUUCAUAUAAGCUAACAAAUACUCCAGCAGAACUAUAUUUUUCGAAUUAUAGCAGUGUUGAAAUAGUAGCACAUUCAGAACUAGCUCACGAAACUAGCAGUGUUGAAACAAAUAUUUUUCAUACUCUAUAUAUAUUUCUUACUGGCAAACAAAUACUUAAGAUACAAAUUGGUAUUAGCAUGAACCAUUUUUGUUUGUGGAGCAUCCUGAGAAAUUUGAAAAGUUUGACAUGUCUCCUUCCAGUUAUUUUGUUUUAUGGCCCUCCUGGCUGUGGCAAGACUUUGUUGGCCAAGGCAAUUGCUAAUUAAUGUUAGACAAACUUCAUUACUGUGAAGGUCCUGAACUGCUUACCAUUUGGUGAGAGCGAGGCUAAUGUCCAUCAGAUUUUUUAUAAGGCUUGACUCAAUUGCUAUUCAGGUAUAGUCUCUAGUUAUGCUCAUGUGCUCACACACUGAUACUACCCUGUAAAUGAACUGAAAAUUACUGCUGUGAAUUUCAGAGCAGAAGCAGUGUUGGUGAUGCAAAAUUGUACCUUUCAGAGAAGAAAUCAGCUCCAGCCGCCCUGCUGCAACAAAUCAAAGCCGCUCGUCCCGCUCACCAAGCUGCCCCGUUGCCGCACGGUGCUUCAUGGGCAGCAGCGCUGCCUGCUGCUGGUCGUCCGCGCCGAGCACUCGACCUAGCUGCGUACGUUGCCAGCCAAUGGCCACAGCCGCUUGCAGGUCCCCUCGGCGACCGAUGGGCACAGCGGCGUGCCUUGCCGUCUGCUGCACUCUCCUCGCCCACCACGAGCCCAGCACUCUCGCCCCAGCCGCUCUCUUGGAUGGCCGCCGGCCUUGGCCACGCUCCUCGACAGCCGCCAGCCCUAGUCGUGCACCUCGCCGGCGCCGGCCGCGCCGCCAGACACAACGCCCACCACGAGCCCAGCACUCUCGCCCCAGCCGCUCUCUUGGAUGGCCGCCGGCCUUAGCCACGCUCCUCGACGGCCGCCAGUCCUAGUCGUGCACCUCGCCGGCGCCGGCCGCGCUGCCAGACACAACCCUAGCCGCCGAAUCCCCUUGAGUGACGAAUGAGUAAGGGUUCGAUCCAAAUUCCCCAAACAGGAUUGGGUGGUGUAGCAUCUUCUAUAUACUAAUAUAUGGAGUAAAACGAGCAAGUUAUCACAAACACUUGUGAGGUGUAUUGGUUAGUGUACCUCGCCUAUGAGGGCUGCUCUGAGUGGCCAGGGUUCGAAUCCCCUAGGGCACUCAUUUUUAGCUUUUUGCCGGAUUUUCAUGCUUCGCCCGAAUUUUCAUGUGCCUUUGGGCUAGAUGCUGUUGGGCCUAGCGAACCAGACUGGUCCAUUUAUGGGCUAAAUCAGGUGGUCCAUGAAAGAUUGGUGGUCUGGUUACCUAGGUGGCCCAACUAGAAUUGGAAAAAAAUAAUUUGGCUGAAAUAAACAUCCAAUAAAAAAGAAAAAAAUCUGACGUGGCAACAAGGCAUGCCAACAUCAGAAAUAUUAUUUAAAAUAAUUCAAAAAUUAUUUUUUUUGACACAAAAUUUUUGUCAAAGGCUUAUGACACUAAAAAGUAAGCCUCAUGACGUACAAAUUAGUGUCACUACAAGAACUUAAAUAGGUGUAUGACAUAUAUUGUGACGUACAAUUUUCAAAGGUCACUAAACCAAAAAUCCUAGAAAAUAACGUCAAAAAAUAGAUGAUACAGUGACGUAAUGACCUAUCGUCAUACUAAAUACGUCAAAAAAGCCACACAUCUCUUGUAGUGUUAUUAGAGUAGGGUGAGAGAGAAGGCAAUGUCACUAUGACUUAUACCACAAAUACCACAUAUCUUGAGAGAAGGCACAUACCAUCACUGCCUUGGUAAGGAUCCAGAAAUACCACAAAAGAGAGAUUUAGAGAGUCAUACAAGGAAUCUCUAAGUUUUAUUUGAAAAUCUGCAAAAACUCCAGAUGAUCAAGAAUAAGAGACAUGGCACUUGGCUAGAUUGUUCUUUCUUUAACUACUCAAGACAGAAUUGACGGUUACAAGUCCCAUGGUGAAAGGUAAAGUAAGUAAGUUUUAGUUCUUGACAGUUUACUCUAACUCAGAGAUGAGAUCUUAUUUAAAAGCAUGUGUACCGUCAAAUUUUUAAGAUAUUGCAACAACUUCUGAUCCAUUGCUGAGUCUAUCCUUGCUCAGGGACGAGCAAGAGGUAAGCUUGGGGGAGUUUGUUGACGGUCCUUAAGUAUCAAAUUUAACUAUCAAAUAAACAAAGAAAAGGAUCCAAAUGAAAUCAACAUCUAGACUUAGGGUUUUAUCUGACAGAAUUCCACGAGUUUUGGUGUUUGUCUAUUUCUGCAGGGGGUUAUCAGAAAAUACGGAAGAAAGGCCCACAUGUCGGGAUUACAUAGAGAUAUUAACGUGCCGCGCAAUUAUCUUACAUCUAGAAGACUCCAGAAGCCACGGGAAGGAAGCGGAGGCCGAACGGGGCCAGAGGCUGGGCGCCCGGCCUCCUGCCCUGGGCGCCCGCCCUGACUUGGAGCCCAAUUAGGACUCUUUCUCUCGAGAGAUCUCCACCGACCUAAAGGAUCAAGAAUAACCGUUCAAUCAAUGUCGGUUUGAUCCGACGGCCCAGGUUCACUUGAGGGGACUAUAUAACCAGACCCCUGGCCCCUGGAGGAGGCACCCCUUGAUCAUUAUUCAUUAUUCAUAGACAGAGCAAAAGCUAGGGUUUAGAGAUGAGAGCUCUCCUCUCUUCUCCAAACUAGAGUAGAUCUAGAUAGU